ACGGUGGAUGCCCUGGCAGUCAGAGGCGAUGAAGGGCGUGCUAAUCUGCGAUAAGCGCCGGUAAGGUGAUAUGAACCGUUAUAACCGGCGAUACCCGAAUGGGGAAACCCAGUGUGACUCGUCACACUAUCAUUAACUGAAUCCAUAGGUUAAUGAGGCGAACCGGGGGAACUGAAACAUCUAAGUACCCCGAGGAAAAGAAAUCAACCGAGAUUCCCCCAGUAGCGGCGAGCGAACGGGGAGGAGCCCAGAGCCUGAAUCAGCAUGUGUGUUAGUGGAAGCGUCUGGAAAGGCGCGCGAUACAGGGUGACAGCCCCGUACACAAAAGCGCAUGUGCUGUGAGCUCGAUGAGUAGGGCGGGACACGUGGUAUCCUGUCUGAAUAUGGGGGGACCAUCCUCCAAGGCUAAAUACUCCUGACUGACCGAUAGUGAACCAGUACCGUGAGGGAAAGGCGAAAAGAACCCCGGCGAGGGGAGUGAAAAAGAACCUGAAACCGUGUACGUACAAGCAGUGGGAGCACCCUUUGGGUGUGACUGCGUACCUUUUGUAUAAUGGGUCAGCGACUUAUAUUCUGUAGCAAGGUUAACCGAAUAGGGGAGCCGGAGGGAAACCGAGUCUUAAUUGGGCGUUAAGUUGCAGGGUAUAGACCCGAAACCCGGUGAUCUAGCCAUGGGCAGGUUGAAGGUUGGGUAACACUAACUGGAGGACCGAACCGACUAAUGUUGAAAAAUUAGCGGAUGACCUGUGGCUGGGGGUGAAAGGCCAAUCAAACCGGGAGAUAGCUGGUUCUCCCCGAAAGCUAUUUAGGUAGCGCCUCGUGAAUUCAUCUCCGGGGGUAGAGCACUGUUUCGGCUAGGGGGCCAUCCCGGCUUACCAACCCGAUGCAAACUGCGAAUACCGGAGAAUGUUAUCACGGGAGACACACGGCGGGUGCUAACGUCCGUCGUGAAGAGGGAAACAACCCAGACCGCCAGCUAAGGUCCCAAAGUCAUGGUUAAGUGGGAAACGAUGUGGGAAGGCCCAGACAGCCAGGAUGUUGGCUUAGAAGCAGCCAUCAUUUAAAGAAAGCGUAAUAGCUCACUGGUCGAGUCGGCCUGCGCGGAAGAUGUAACGGGGCUAAACCAUGCACCGAAGCUGCGGCAGCGACGCUUAUGCGUUGUUGGGUAGGGGAGCGUUCUGUAAGCCUGCGAAGGUGGCCUGUGAGGGUUGCUGGAGGUAUCAGAAGUGCGAAUGCUGACAUAAGUAACGAUAAAGCGGGUGAAAAGCCCGCUCGCCGGAAGACCAAGGGUUCCUGUCCAACGUUAAUCGGGGCAGGGUGAGUCGACCCCUAAGGCGAGGCCGAAAGGCGUAGUCGAUGGGAAACGGGUUAAUAUUCCCGUACUUGGUGUUACUGCGAAGGGGGGACGGAGAAGGCUAUGUUGGCCGGGCGACGGUUGUCCCGGUUUAAGCGUGUAGGCUGGUUUUCCAGGCAAAUCCGGAAAAUCAAGGCUGAGGCGUGAUGACGAGGCACUACGGUGCUGAAGCAACAAAUGCCCUGCUUCCAGGAAAAGCCUCUAAGCAUCAGGUAACAUCAAAUCGUACCCCAAACCGACACAGGUGGUCAGGUAGAGAAUACCAAGGCGCUUGAGAGAACUCGGGUGAAGGAACUAGGCAAAAUGGUGCCGUAACUUCGGGAGAAGGCACGCUGACACGUAGGUGAAGUGAUUUACUCACGGAGCUGAAGUCAGUCGAAGAUACCAGCUGGCUGCAACUGUUUAUUAAAAACACAGCACUGUGCAAACACGAAAGUGGACGUAUACGGUGUGACGCCUGCCCGGUGCCGGAAGGUUAAUUGAUGGGGUCAGCGCAAGCGAAGCUCCUGAUCGAAGCCCCGGUAAACGGCGGCCGUAACUAUAACGGUCCUAAGGUAGCGAAAUUCCUUGUCGGGUAAGUUCCGACCUGCACGAAUGGCGUAAUGAUGGCCAGGCUGUCUCCACCCGAGACUCAGUGAAAUUGAACUCGCUGUGAAGAUGCAGUGUACCCGCGGCAAGACGGAAAGACCCCGUGAACCUUUACUAUAGCUUGACACUGAACAUUGAGCCUUGAUGUGUAGGAUAGGUGGGAGGCUUUGAAGCGUGGACGCCAGUCUGCGUGGAGCCGACCUUGAAAUACCACCCUUUAAUGUUUGAUGUUCUAACGUGGACCCGUUACCCGGGUUGCGGACAGUGUCUGGUGGGUAGUUUGACUGGGGCGGUCUCCUCCUAAAGAGUAACGGAGGAGCACGAAGGUUGGCUAAUCCUGGUCGGACAUCAGGAGGUUAGUGCAAUGGCAUAAGCCAGCUUGACUGCGAGCGUGACGGCGCGAGCAGGUGCGAAAGCAGGUCAUAGUGAUCCGGUGGUUCUGAAUGGAAGGGCCAUCGCUCAACGGAUAAAAGGUACUCCGGGGAUAACAGGCUGAUACCGCCCAAGAGUUCAUAUCGACGGCGGUGUUUGGCACCUCGAUGUCGGCUCAUCACAUCCUGGGGCUGAAGUAGGUCCCAAGGGUAUGGCUGUUCGCCAUUUAAAGUGGUACGCGAGCUGGGUUUAGAACGUCGUGAGACAGUUCGGUCCCUAUCUGCCGUGGGCGCUGGAGAACUGAGGGGGGCUGCUCCUAGUACGAGAGGACCGGAGUGGACGCAUCACUGGUGUUCGGGUUGUCAUGCCAAUGGCACUGCCCGGUAGCUAAAUGCGGAAGAGAUAAGUGCUGAAAGCAUCUAAGCACGAAACUUGCCCCGAG
rnacentral:rRNA from 1 species